rnacentral:rRNA from 1 species
GACGUAGGGCGCGAGCGUUUGUCCGGAUUUAUUGGGCGUAAAGAGCUCGUAGGCGGCUUGUCGCGUCGGAAUGUGAAAACCCGGGGCUCAACCCCGGGCCUGCAUUCGAUACGGGCAGACUAGAGUUCGGUAGGGGAGUCUGGAAUUCCUGGUGUAGCGGUGAAAUGCGCAGAUAUCAGGAGGAACACCGGUGGCGAAGGCGGGGACUCUGGGGCCGAUACUGACGCUGAGGAGCGAAAAGCGUGGGGGAGCAAACAGG